GAAGGAUAUGGCACAAAGGCGCGCGCACUCAAAACUGGAUCGUCUCGUGAGCUACAGUGAGCUACAAAUGGCGCCAGGUUCUUCAGCUUUGAAUGCCUUCCUACAAAUGAUAACUGGAUAAAAGCAUGGGAGACUUGAUUGAAUUCUUGAAACAAAGAGAAGUCUCUGAGGAAAUUAUACAGACCUUGGAGAAUGAGAAGAUUGAUGCCAGUGUCAUAAGUCUAAUGACAGAUGAGGAGCUGAAGACUUAUUUGCCAUCAUAUGGUGAUCGUCUAGCAGUAUUUGGAUUUUGCAGACGGAGGGGCAGCAGCCGCAAGUCAGCGCUUUUUGAACGGCUGAAAUCCAAACUGUCCAAAAGAAAAUUAUCUGAAGAGGAUGGCAGUAGUACACGGCAAGAAGAACAUUCCCAAACAACCCAUAAAAGAAAUGCUCUGAAGAGAAAUAGAAAAAUAGAAAUAGGAUGGAUGCAUUAUGAUGAAGACACUGAGGUUUUCAAGCAGGUUAGAGCUAGACGAGGAGGAGGAACAAGAAAAAUAGACAUUUGCAAGGAUGCCAAGAAAAGGGACAUAUUACAGGUUGCAACAGGCUUGUUCUUUCCAGAUGGAGGAAACAUUCAGGGGCCCUUAACAGAUUUCGACUGUGAUCUAAAGGAUUAUCAAGAGAUGAUAGUCGAUGAUGCAUUGACAGUAGGAGAACUUUAUCAUGUCACAAAACUAAAUAUCCUCAGGUUCUACCUCACCACAAAGAAAAACAAAAUGACAGCCUUCAGAGUUCCAGCCCAGGUUUGCAUCCAUCUUCAGAAAUUGAAGAGAGUCCUCAAAACCAAACCUCUUCUUUUACUGUCACUACAGUCCAAACAUCUGCUCCAUUUGAAACAAUCAGCCAUGAUGUGCCAUACAUUGAAGACACUCCAAACGAUAACCUUCCACAAUCUUCCACGCAGUCUCUAAGUGCUAACACUUCUCACAGCAGUGACAUUAUUUUUGUUGGCCCCUUUUCUGACAGUGAGCCAAUAAAUUUGGAUGACCCUGAUUUUUCUCCACACCCUGGUCCAUCCAGUGAGAGAGUGAGGAGAGUAGUGGUGGUCCACAGAGGGCAGGUAAUGUCAGAGCUCAUUUCACAUUUUAGUGAUAAGGACCUUGAAGAUGUCGACAUCAAAAUCCAGUUCGUACUGCCUGAUGGAACACCUGAAAUGGCCCAUGACGAUGGGGGAGUUGUGAGAGAUUGUCUUUCAGAAUUCUGGAAAGAAUUCUAUGACCAGUGCACCACUGGAAAUGUUUGCAAGGUGCCCUUCUUAAGGCAUGAUUUUGGGCAACAGGAGUGGGAGAGUGUGGGCAGAAUCAUUGCAUUUGGAUGGGUUAGAGAGAAAUAUCUGCCUGUGAAAAUUGCACCUGCCAUUCUAGAACAAGCUGCCUUUGGAUAUGUAAAGAGUGAUAUUGUGGAGGAUUUCCUUAAGUUCAUGCCUGAAUCUGAGCGUACAGUGUUAGAGGCGUGGCGAUCAGACUUUAGCAUCGUGGACCAAGAAGAACUUAUAGACAUACUUGAUAACCACAGCUGCAGAAAGAUACCAACAGCCUACAAUGCCACUGAAGUCCUAUUGGAGCUUGCACACAAAACACUUGUCCAAGAGCCUGCCUAUGUUAUUGAACAGUGGGCAAGAACACUCAGCACUGCAUGGGAAAGCAUUUGUGAUCUAUCGUCACUUUUUGAAACCCUCCAACCAAAUGUGAGAAAAGUUCUCAAGUGUCUCACUUUCCCUGAAACAAUGACGGCUCACCAGAAGCUGAUUCAGAAAUAUCUAACUACAUAUGUGAAGAAUGCUGAGAAGGAACAUUUGUGUUUGUUCCUCAGGUUUUGCACAGGUUCAGAUUUACAUCUUGGAAAGAACAUCAUCAUUGGGUUUAACGAACUUAAAGGUUUCCAGAGACGACCUGUGGCACACACAUGUGGAUGUGUACUGGAGCUGUCGAUAAAUUAAGCACAAAGGUAAAUCAGUCCAUGCAGCUUUUAAUUGUUGUAGAUGGUGAUUCUUACACCUGCAGUAGUCCACAGCAAAGUAUACACAUACUUUGACAAUUGGCUGCUCACCUCAUCAUUCUUCUUGUCUUCGAUGUGCUCAAAGAAGUUCACAGCAUAACUACAGUCAGUAAAGGAUCAUUUGAAGCUGGACAAUCCAUCUCCAUCCCAUCUCUCCAUGACUCCCAAUACAUAAACCAUGUGAAGUACUUGUGUGAAGGAUAUUAUUGGAGAUACCCCCAGUCUCUAUGUGGAUCAUCAGAGAACUACAGGAUAUAUUGGAGGAAACAUAACCAUCAGAUGUCACCACAGUAACUCUGGAGAAAUGAAGUGGUGCAGGCUGGGCAAGAACUGUGUGACAGGAUCAUCAGGAUCUAUAGAUGGUGCAGCAGUGACCACUCACAUGAGAGACCCAAAUGUUUUCACAAUGACCGUGAGUGGACUAAGGUCAGAGGACAGUGGCUGGUAUUUGUGUGCUAAAGAGGACAUUGGGAGACUGACUACCUCUACCCACACUGUUGCUGGAAAUCUAACAUUUACCACAUUCGAAAAUAACCAACAUAGCAUCAGUAAAAGCAGUUUCGUUUUACUAGAGAAGCAUAAAGCAGAAUCACCAGUGACAGCAAUGGUUGAAGAGGAAGUAACAUACUCAGAAGUUAGAUACCUGAAAGGCAAGAUGGAUGGGGAAGUAACAGACUCCACUGUGAGAAAUGUGGGAAGAAAAACACCAAAGGAUAAAUGCACAGAAGUUACAUACAGCAUCCAUCCAUCCAGUCACCACUGAAAUAUUUAAAAAUUACAACUUUCUGCCUUUUUAUUUUUCUUAUCCGUAGCUGUAUUACUGAAGUCUUUGUCAGAGAAGUGAUGCAAUGUGUUGAAUCUACUGCUCAGCUUGUCCUGUAACUCUUUUCUUUAAGAUCUUUAAGCUGUCACAGUUUAUUUUGUAAUUCUUGAAUGGAAUUCUGGCUGUAAAAGAUGAGUUAAGGCUCCAUCAUGUGGUGGGUUUGAUAUAUGGUUGGAUUUUUAAUGUGAGAGAAUAUCCAUCCAUCCAUCCAUCCAUCCAUCCAUCCAUCCAUCCAUCCAUCCAUCCAUCCAUCUUUUUUCUGCUUAUCAGCUACCAUUCAGAGGAAACCCAUUUCUGCCGCUUGUAUCUGCGAUCUCGUUCUUUCAGCCUUAGAUUUGGAUGUGCUGAUUCUCAUUCCGACCGCUUCACACUCGGCUGCUAACUGUUCCAAUGUGAGCCACAUCAUCACAUCAACCACCACCACAUCAACCACGUCAUCCAUGAAAAGCAGAGAUAAGAUUCUGAGACCACUGAAGUGAAAGCCUUCCACCACUUGGCUGCGCCUAGAAAUUCUGGCAAUAAAAAUUACAAACAGAAUCGGUGACAUAGCCCUGGCAGAGCCCAUCACCCACCAGGAACAAGUCUGACUUAUUGCGGACCGAACUCUUGCAACGGUUGUAUUAGGAUCAAAAGGCCCGUAGCAAUGGGUCAAACACCCCAUACUCCCGGAGCACCUCCCAUAGUACACUCCAAGGGACACGAUCAAAUGCCUUCUCCAAACCCACAAAACACAUGUAGACUGUUGGGCAAACUCCCAUGCACCCUCAAGUAUCCUUGAGAGGAUAAAGAGCUGGUCCAGUGUUCCUCAGCCAGGACGAAAACCACAUUGUUCCUCCUGUAUCCAAGUUUCGACUAACAGAUGGACUCUCCUUUCCAGCACCCAUGUCUGCCAGUCCUGGGGUACUGCCCCACCCCUGAUCUCCACGCAAGAUUGUAGAGGCGUGUCAACCAGGACAGCCCUACAACAUACAGGGAGUGCAGAAUUAUUAGGCAAAUGAGUAUUUUGUCCACAUCAUCCUCUUCAUGCAUGUUGUCUUACUCCAAGCUGUAUAGGCUCGAAAGCCUACUACCAGUUAAGCAUAUUAGGUGAUGUGCAUCUCUGUAAUGAGAAGGGGUGUGGUCUAAUGACAUCAACACCCUAUAUCAGGUGUGCAUAAUUAUUAGGCAACUUCCUUUCCUUUGGCAAAAUGGGUCAAAAGAAGGACUUGACAGGCUCAGAA
ensembl:lncRNA